rnacentral:rRNA from 1 species
CCCGCAACGAGCGCAACCCUUAUCCUUUGUUGCCAGCGGUCCGGCCGGGAACUCAAAGGAGACUGCCAGUGAUAAACUGGAGGAAGGUGGGGAUGACGUCAAGUCAUCAUGGCCCUUACGACCAGGGCUACACACGUGCUACAAUGGCGCAUACAAAGAGAAGCGACCUCGCGAGAGCAAGCGGACCUCAUAAAGUGCGUCGUAGUCCGGAUUGGAGUCUGCAACUCGACUCCAUGAAGUCGGAAUCGCUAGUAACCGCAGGUCAGCAAUACUGCGGUGAAUACGUUCCCGGGCCUUGUACACAC